rnacentral:tRNA from 1 species
GCAUUGGCAGUUCAGUGGUAGAAUUAUUGCCUUCCAUGCAGGAGAUCUAGGUUUGAUUCCUGGCCAGUGCA